CAUGCAAGUCGAGGGGAAACGACAUCGAAAGCUUGCUUUUGAUGGGCGUCGACCGGCGCACGGGUGAGUAACGCGUAUCCAACCUGCCCACCACUUGGGGAUAACCUUGCGAAAGUAAGACUAAUACCCAAUGACGUCUCUAGAAGACAUCUGAAAGAGAUUAAAGAUUUAUCGGUGAUGGAUGGGGAUGCGUCUGAUUAGCUUGUUGGCGGGGUAACGGCCCACCAAGGCGACGAUCAGUAGGGGUUCUGAGAGGAAGGUCCCCCACAUUGGAACUGAGACACGGUCCAAACUCCUACGGGAGGCGGCAGUGAGGAAUAUUGGUCAAUGGGCGAGAGCCUGAACCAGCCAAGUAGCGUGCAGGAUGACGGCCCUAUGGGUUGUAAACUGCUUUUAUAAGGGAAUAAAGUGAGUCUCGUGAGACUUUUUGCAUGUACCUUAUGAAUAAGGACCGGCUAAUUCCGUGCCAGCAGCCGCGGUAAUACGGAAGGUCCGGGCGUUAUCCGGAUUUAUUGGGUUUAAAGGGAGCGUAGGCCGGAGAUUAAGCGUGUUGUGAAAUGUAGACGCUCAACGUCUGCACUGCAGCGCGAACUGGUUUCCUUGAGUACGCACAAAGUGGGCGGAAUUCGUGGUGUAGCGGUGAAAUGCUUAGAUAUCACGAAGAACUCCGAUUGCGAAGGCAGCUCACUGGAGCGCAACUGACGCUGAAGCUCGAAAGUGCGGGUAUCGAACAGGAUUAGAUACCCUGGUAGUCCGCACGGUAAACGAUGGAUGCCCGCUGUUGGUCUGAAUAGGUCAGCGGCCAAGCGAAAGCAUUAAGCAUCCCACCUGGGGAGUACGCCGGCAACGGUGAAACUCAAAGGAAUUGACGGGGG
rnacentral:rRNA from 1 species